CUUCAGUUAUGGGACGGCGUUUUGCGUGUCGUUCAGAUAAGGUUUGAACGAUGCGCUAGCGUCUGAUCCUUCCGCAACACUUGCCGAAGCCUUAGCUGCCUGAAAAGGUGUCUUCCAUGACGUGAAAUAAAGAGAAGACUUGAAAGCUAGUCCGCACCGCGGGCAACACUAUCAAAUUGCGGGAACGCCCUAAAGACCUUAACACCAAGCGACGACCGGAAACGGCGCCGUGGCCGAGCUAAUAGCCCUGGGUAUGGUAACAGCUUGAGGUAUGAAGUUCUUCGGAACCGAAAUGGGUGAUCCGCAGCCAAAUCCUAACGUGUUCUUUGAGCACCACGGAUGCUGUUCACAGGCCAAAUGGUAGUGGGUGAUUGCUGUUGCAGUUGCUUAAGAUAUGGUCGGGCUUCUGCCGAGAGGUGGGAGAUGAGUUUGCGCGUCUCUUUCGAGAUUGGUACUACGAAACCGUUCCGUAGGUGAACCUGCGGAAGGAUCAUUACAAGGUUUUUUGGGCCUUCGGGCCUGAUACCCGUCCAUGUCAUUUGCAACGAUUUGUUUCGGCGGAGGGUUGCUGCGGAGGUUACAUCGCGAUUUUCGGGUCAUGUGACAUCUCCGUGGCGGCCGCCGUCGGCCUUUUUUUCAACCUCUGCGAACCUUUGAAGUCUGAUUGUCAAAAUGAAAAUGUAGCAAAACUUUCAACAACGGAUCUCUUGGCUCUGGCAACGAUGAAGAACGCAGCGAAAUGCGAUAAGUAAUGCGAAUUGCAGAAUCAGUGAAUCAUCGAAUCUUUGAACGCACAUUGCGCCUCUCGGCAUUCCGAGGGGCACGCCUGUUCGAGCGCCAUUACACACUCCAAGCUCUGCUUGAUGUUGGACCAGGCAGGAUGCUGCCGGUCUGAAACACGUGGGCGCCCUCCGCCGACCUCGAGCGUAGCAAGAUAGCCUUCUGGGCACGUCAUUCGCAUCGUGGGUUCGGUUGAGGCGCAGCCUUGAAACUCUUGUUCUCGCAACAACAAAGUUUGGCCUCGGAUCAGGCGGGGAUACCCGCUGAACUUAAGCAUAUCAAUAAGCGGAGGAAAAGAAACCAACAGGGAUUGCCCCAGUAACGGCGAGUGAAGCGGCAACAGCUCAAAUUUGAAAUCUGGCGCCUACGGCGUCCGAGUUGUAAUUUGCAGAGGGUGCCUCGGGUGGAGCACCGGUCCAAGUCCCUUGGAACAGGAUACCGCAGAGGGUGAGAGUCCCGUAUCCGGCCGGUCGUGUCCCCCGCUGUGAGGCCCCUUCGACGAGUCGAGUUGUUUGGGAAUGCAGCUCUAAAUGGGUGGUAAAUUCCAUCUAAAGCUAAAUACUGGCCAGAGACCGAUAGCGCACAAGUAGAGUGAUCGAAAGAUGAAAAGCACUUUGAAAAGAGAGUGAAACAGUACGUGAAAUUGUUGAAAGGGAAGCGUAUGAGGCCAGACUUGGCCGCGGAUGCUCAGCCCGUCUUCUGGCGGGUGCACUCUUCCGCGGACAGGCCAGCAUCGGUUUGGGCGGCCGGACAACGGCGCAGGGAAUGUGGCACUCUUCGGGGUGUGUUAUAGCCCGGCGUGGAAUGCGGCCAGCCCGGACCGAGGACCGCGCAUG
rnacentral:rRNA from 1 species